rnacentral:rRNA from 1 species
AACGAACGCUGGCGGCAGGCCUAAAACAUGCAAGUCGAACGCCCUAGCAAUAGGGAGUGGCGCACGGGUGAGUAACGCGUGGGAACGUGCCCUUCAGUACGGAACAACGUCGGGAAACUGACGCUAAUACCGUAUAAUAUCUCCGGAUCAAAGAUUUGUCGCUGAAGGAUCGGCCCGCGUCUGAUUAGCUAGUUGGUGAGGUAAUGGCUCACCAAGGCUACGAUCAGUAGCUGGUCUGAGAGGAUGAUCAGCCACACUGGGACUGAGACACGGCCCAGACUCCUACGGGAGGCAGCAGUUAGGAAUAUUGGACAAUGGGCGAAAGCCUGAUCCAGCCAUGCCGCGUGUGUGAUGAAGGCCUUAGGGUUGUAAAGCACUUUCGUUGGGGAUGAUAAUGACCGUACCCAAAGAAGAAGCCACGGCUAAAUUCGUGCCAGCAGCCGCCGUAA